GUGGGGAAUAUUGGGCAAUGGGCGAAAGCCUGACCCAGCAACGCCGCGUGAAGGAAGAAGGUCUUCGGAUCGUAAACUUCUAUCCUUGGUGAAGAUAAUGACGGUAGCCGAGAAGGAAGCCCCGGCUAACUACGUGCCAGCAGCCGCGGUAAUACGUAGGGGGCAAGCGUUGUCCGGAAUGAUUGGGCGUACAGGGCGCGUAGGCGGCCUGGUAAGUCUGGAGUGAAAGUCCUGCUUUUAAGGUGGGAAUUGCUUUGGAUACUGUCGAGCUUGAGUGCAGGAGAGGUAAGUGGAAUUCCCGGUGUAGCGGUGAAAUGCGUAGAGCUCGGGAGGAACACCAGUCGCGAAGGCGACUUACUGGACUGUAACUGACGCUGAGGCGCGAAAGUGUGGGGAGCAAACAGGAUUAGAUACCCUAGUAGUCC
rnacentral:rRNA from 1 species